rnacentral:lncRNA from 1 species
GACGAGCAGCCGGAGCCCCGGACGCGGCGCAGGGCCUAUCUGUGGUGCAAGGAGUUCCUGCCCGGCGCCUGGCGGGGCCUCCGCGAGGACGAGUUCCACAUCAGUGUCAUCAGACAGUCUUGCUCUGUUGCCCAGGCGGGAGCACAAUGGCGCGAUCUCGGCUCACUGCAACCUCUGCCUCCCAGGUUCAAGCGAUUCUCCUGCCUCGGCCUCCCGAGUAGCUGGGAUUACAGUCACAUGCCAUGUCCAGCUAAAUUUUUUUUUUUUGGUAUCUUUAGUAGAUACAAGGUUUCACAUGUUGGCCAGGCUGGUCUUGAACUCCUGACCUCAUGAUCCGCCUGCUUUGGCCUCCCAUAGUGCUGGGAUUACAGGCAUGAGCCACCACGCCUGGCUACCUGGCUAAUUUUUGUAUUUUUUGGUAGCCACGGGGUUUUACCAUGGUGCCCAGGCUGGUAUAGAACUCCUGGGCUCAGGUGAUCCGCCUGCCUCCGCCCAAAGAGCAGGGAUUACAGGCGUAAACCACCACACCCAGCUUAGAGUUUGUUAUUUUCAUUGCUGAUUGAUAAGGUCACAGCAGUUGUGAAAUGAAGUUUAAAAUCUUGUGAAGGAUACAAGAUUUCAUGAAGUUCAAUGAAUGAAAUGUUGGAGACUAAGUUUCACACACAUCUUUUGACAUUACGUUCCACAGACCCACUAACAGUGAAAAGAAAACCAUUGAGGAGGAUGCUACCUUGGGCCCUGCAAAAUAGAAUCAUAUCAAAAGAUGGAGAGAGUCCCAUGAAAAGACUGGCCAAGUCCUCAGAUACUGUAAAAUUAAUGCAGUAAAACUCACAUAGGAAGUUAAUUGUGUCUUAUGGUGCCAUCAUAAUUUUUUUGGAAAAAUUGUGCCCAAACUCCCUACUUUUCAUUUUAAACGUUUGCUUUUCAAAUUAAACAUAAAUAUGUAGUUGUAUUAUAACCUAAAUUAUGUUACAUAUAAGAACAGAAACAAUUUUCAAUUUCAUUUUUCAAGAUACAAUUUUAUUUACACUUUGUUUUUACUGGAAAGUUUUGUUCCUUGGGUGGCUGGCUUGCUGGCUUUCUUUUUCUUUCUUCCUUUUUAAACUAAUACACUAUAUUUUUUAGAGCAACUUGUAUUUGUUUGUUUAGAAAUGGGGGAUUUCACUGUGUUACCCAGGCUGGUCUUGAACUCCUGGGCUCAAGUGGUCCCUCCUGCCUCAGCCACCUUAGUAGCUGGGAUUACAAGUGUGUGCCACUGUGCCCAGUUUUAGAGCAGUUUUAGGUUCACAGCAAAAUUGAGCAGAUAGUACAGAGAGUUCCCAUAUAACCCCCUGCCUGCACACAGGCACUGCCUUCCCCUUUCUCAACUUCCCCCACCAGAAUGGGACAUUUGUUACAACUGAGGAACCUACAUUGACAUAUUAUCACUCAGAGUCCAUAACACACUACAUCCUAUUCUUGCUGUUGUACAUUCUGUGGUUUUUGGCCACCGUAUAAUGACAUGUAUCCACCAUUGUAUUGAUGCUGCUUUACAUGAUGAGCUUACUUCAACAGGGUUAUGCCCUGAUAAACCAUCAUAAAUUGAAAUGCAUUUAAUACAUUGAAUCUACUGAACAGCAUAUCUUAGCCUAGCCUACCUUUAAUUUGCCAGAACACUUACACAUUAGCUUACAGUUGGGCAAAGUAAUCUAACAGAAAGUCUGUUUUUAUAAUAAAGUGUUAAAUAUUUCAUGUAAUUUAUUGAUUACUGAAAAUGAAAAAUAAAAUGGUUGUAUGUUUA